GACGAACGCUGGCGGCGUGCUUAACACAUGCAAGUCGAGCGGUAAGGCCCUUUCGGGGGUACACGAGCGGCGAACGGGUGAGUAACACGUGGGUGACCUGCCCUCAGCUCUGGGAUAAGCCUGGGAAACCGGGUCUAAUACCGGAUAUGACUCCAUGACGCAUGUUGUGGGGUGGAAAGCCUUGUGCGGCUGAGGAUGGGCCCGCGGCCUAUCAGCUUGUUGGUGGGGUGAUGGCCUACCAAGGCGACGACGGGUAGCCGGCCUGAGAGGGCGACCGGCCACACUGGGACUGAGACACGGCCCAGACUCCUACGGGAGGCAGCAGUGGGGAAUCUUGCGCAAUGCACGAAAGUGUGACGCAGCAACGCCGCGUGCGGGAAGACGGCCU
rnacentral:rRNA from 1 species